rnacentral:rRNA from 1 species
GACGAACGCUGGCGGCGUGCUUAACACAUGCAAGUCGAACGGAAAGGCCCUGCUUUUGUGGGGUGCUUGAGUGGCGAACGGGUGAGUAACACGUGAGUAACCUGCCCUUGACUUUGGGAUAACUUCAGGAAACUGGGGCUAAUACCGGAUAGGAGCUCCUGCUGCAUGGUGGGGGUUGGAAAGUUUCGGCGGUUGGGGAUGGACUCGCGGCUUAUCAGCUUGUUGGUGGGGUAGUGGCUUACCAAGGCUUUGACGGGUAGCCGGCCUGAGAGGGUGACCGGCCACAUUGGGCCUGAGCUGCGGCCCAGCCUCCUACGGGAGGCAGCAGUGGGGAAUAUUGCACAAUGGGCGGAAGCCUGAUGCAGCAACGCCGCGUGCGGGAUGACGGCCUUCGGGUUGUAAACCGCUUUCGCCUGUGACGAAGCGUGAGUGACGGUAAUGGGUAAAGAAGCACCGGCUAACUACGUG